GUGUCAGCCGCCGCGGUAAUACGUAGGGGGCAAGCGUUGUCCGGAUUUAUUGGGCGUAAAGCGCACGCAGGCGGUCUUUCAAGUUGCGAGUGACAGGUGGGGGCUUAACUCCCACAGGCCUUGGAAAACUGGAAGACUUGAGGGCUUGAGAGGGACGCGGAAUUCCAGGUGGAGCGGUGAAAUGCGUAGAGAUCUGGAAGAACACCAAAGGCGAAGGCAGCGUCCUGGCAAGCAACUGACGCUCAUGUGCGAAAGCUAGGGGAGCGAACGGGAUUAGAUACCCCCGUAGUCC
rnacentral:rRNA from 1 species